GACUACAUCAAGACGUGUAUCAGACAGGAAAGUAGCAAGAUUUGAAAGAAAACUCAUGAAGAAAGGAUCUGAAAAGAAGGGAUGGGGAUUGAACCAUAUUGGUCCAAUUCUGAUUGGUUUCUUAGUCUUUCUUCUUUUUGGAUUAUGCUUGUUCAUCAUUAAGAGGACAGCUUAUGCAAGUGGUGGAACGGCCUAA